rnacentral:rRNA from 1 species
CCUACGGGCGGCUGCAGUGGGGAAUAUUGCACAAUGGGCGCAAGCCUGAUGCAGCCAUGCCGCGUGUGUGAAGAAGGCCUUCGGGUUGUAAAGCACUUUCAGCGGGGAGGAAGGCGUUGAGGUUAAUAACCUUGUCGAUUGACGUUACCCGCAGAAGAAGCACCGGCUAACUCCGUGCCAGCAGACGCGGUUAUACGGAGGGUGCAAGCGUUAAUCGGAAUUACUGGGCGUAAAGCGCACGCAGGCGGUCUGUCAAGUCGGAUGUGAAAUCCCCGGGGUCAACCUGGGAACUGCAUUCGAAACUGGCAGGCUAGAGUCUUGUAGAGGGGGGUAGAAUUCCAGGUGUAGCGGUGAAAUGCGUAGAGAUCUGGAGGAAUACCGGUGGCGAAGGCGGCCCCCUGGACAAAGACUGACGCUCAGGUGCGAAAGCGUGGGGAGCAAACAGGAUUAGAUACCCGAGUAGUC